rnacentral:rRNA from 1 species
GAUGAACGCUGGCGGCGUGCCUAAUACAUGCAAGUCGAGCGAACAGACGAGUAUCUUGCUCCUCUGACGUUAGCGGCGGACGGGUGAGUAACACGUGGAUAACCUACCUAUAAGACUUGGAUAACUUCGGGAAACCGGAGCUCAUACCGGAUAAUAUAUUUAACCGCAUGGUUCAAUAGUGAAAGACGGUUUUGCUGUCACUUAUAGAUGGAUCCGCGCCGCAUUAGCUAGUUGGUAAGGUAACGGCUUACCAAGGCAACGAUGCGUAGCCGACCUGAGAGGGUGAACGGGCACACUGGAACUGAGACACGGUCCAGACUCCGACGGGAGGCAGCAGUAGGGAAUCUUCCGAAAAGGGCGAAAGAUUGAAGGAGCAACGCCGCGUGAGUGAUGAAGGUCUUCGGAUCGUAAAACUCUGUUAUUAGGGAAGAACAAAUGUGUAAGUAACUAUGCACGUCUUGACGGUACCUAAUCAGAAAGCCACGGCUAACUACGUG